CUGAAGUGCAGAGAUACAGUCUUGCUCACUGCAGGCUCUACCUCCUGGGUUCAAGCGAUGCUCCCGCCUCAGCCUCCCAAGUAGCUGGGACUACAGUCACCAUGGAGCAACCAGGGCCGCAUUUACCCUUCCACCUGAAACAACAGCAACCACAAAAAACAGACAUAAUAUACAAAACAUUGGUUUUCAAGAUGCUGGACAUCAGGUAAUGAAGGACAGUGACUCCUGUGAGAUAGGAGGGAAAUGAGCUGACCCUACAAUUGCCUCAGCCUGUGAGGGUUCCCAGGCCAGGGCACAGGCAAGAGAGACUGAGGCAGAGCCCAGGGGAUUCCCUGGGUCAGGGAGACGGAGCUGAGAAUGGAGAAAGGCCACAGGGACUAAAGUUCUUGGGGCAAAGUCCCAAAGAAGAGAGAGCUGCGUGGAGAGAGGGAGAGAGCUCAGAGAUCUGCAGAGGGUCUUCCUGAGCCUUCACUGAGUGCUGAGCAGUGCGGAUGUGCCAGGGAACGAUCAGACGCUGGGGACAGAACCACCCAACAGAAUUCAAGAUAAGAGUGCUCAGUGCUGACACGGGACCAGGACCAGGGUCUGUUUCCACCAGCCAGAGCAGAAGCCUGAAGAGUCCCAGACACCAGGGAGGCUUCCCAGAAGAAACUAGCCUCAGCAGUGAGGAAUAAUUAGCCUAGACUGAGCACAGCGCCAGAAUCCCCCACCAAAUCAUGACAGCAACCCGAAGGGAUUGAACUGUUUCCAACAAACUUAACUGCAUCGCAGAACAAAGCACACAAUUAUUUAUAGGAACACAAACAUAUCCAGCACCCAGCGAAGUAAAAUUCAUGGUGUCUGACAUCCAAUAAAAAAUAACCAGUCAUGCAAAGAAGGAAAAUAUGACCCAUAGUAAGGAGAUAAAUACAUCAAUCAAAACUGACAUAGAACUGACACAGAAGCCAGGAUUAGCAGACAAGGACAUUAAAACAGUUAUUAUAACUGUGUUCCAUAUGUUCAAAAAGUCAAGGAGAGACAUAUUUGCCUUUUUGCUUUUUUUCUCUGCUGAAUAAUUCUGUCCAAAAACUAAGAUCACGGAGGCUCAAGUCGAUCUGCCUGGUUCAAUUUCCAGCUCUGAGACUUACAGGCUCUCAUACAGUGUAGCCGGGGCUGGGGCUGGACACAGUGUCUGAGCUCUGGCAGGGUGAGGAGGUGCAGGUAUUAGGAGACAGAGCACACACCCAAGCGUGGCCUGAUUCAAAAGUAAAUAUGCAUAUUCAUGGCUGGGCG
rnacentral:lncRNA from 1 species